rnacentral:rRNA from 1 species
UACGAGGGGGGCGAGCGUUGUUCGGAAUUACUGGGCGUAAAGCGUGCGCAGGCGGCUUCUCAAGUCAGGGGUGAAAGCCCAGAGCUCAACUCUGGAAUUGCCUUUGAGACUGAGUGGCUUGAGUACGAGAGAGGUGAGUGGAAUUCCCAGUGUAGAGGUGAAAUUCGUAGAUAUUGGGAAGAACACCGGUGGCGAAGGCGGCUCACUGGCUCGUAACUGACGCUCAUGCACGACAGCGUGGGGAUCAAACAGG